rnacentral:lncRNA from 1 species
AAGAAAAGAGAGAAAAAGAGAAGAAGUCACUGCCAGGAUGAUUCAUGUUGGGAAUAGGAUGCCAAACCCCAGAUAAUUGACAAUAGGCUCCCAUGGAAGUCUUCUGUGCAUUUCUGCAAAAAUUUAGGAAACAUUAGGUUUGACACCAUCAUCAUGUUUGCCAAGGCAGCAAAAAUCCCAGCCGGCAAAGCUUCAAGUGUGAUGAAGCGGAACAGCAAGGACAGCACGGAAUGACUGAUCAUUUCAGAAUGCCGUCUAGCGAGAGUUUCCAAUGUGGGAGUUUUCCAUUGUUUUGAAGCAGGAGAAAUAGGGACCGGCUGCUUUGGAAGAAACAUGCUGUAGGGGUCUGCCCCUACUACGAACUUAUGAGGGUUGAGGAGAAAUUACGUUUUUCCCCCAGCAAGUGUUCAAAUGAGAAAUGGUGAGGACAGCAGCAUUGGGUAAAGAGAGAGGGGCAGAUUUGAGAGGUAUCAAGAAGGAGGUGACUUCGUGGGUGGUGAGGAAUGAGAGAGUGUGGGAUGUUUAGGAAGAUGCCCAAAUUUCCAGCUUGGGUGAUGGGGUAAUGGUGCUAUUCUCAGAGUGGAAACUCAAGAGGAAGGAUGCAAUUUGGGAAAACAUGAGAUCCCUUUGGAACUAAAUUCCUUGAGGUCUGCGUGGACAGUGACAGGGUGUGGAUCAAUGACACCUGAGUUUUUUUCCCAGCUCUGUUGGUAUGAUUUUAUUUGACUUCCCUCUCUGAGUCUUGUCCUUUUUUCCAUAAGGUAUAUUAUUGCCUUUCUUGGCUUGAUUUCUGAUCUCAUAGAGAUCUGUGAAAGUGCUUUGUAAAUGUCCUCACAAAUGUAAAUAUUUAUGUUUACAGGGAAGUGAAGGUGUAAAAAGCAAAGUCAACAGUACAUUUAACUUAUUAAUAGGCAGAGUAUGUGCCUUAUUUGCAUUGUGACAGCAUCAGGUGGAGA